rnacentral:ncRNA from 1 species
GGUACCCGGGGAUCCUCUAGAGUCGACCUGCAGGCAUGCAAGCUUGCUUCUUUGCUGACGAGUGGCGGACGGGUGAGUAAUGUCUGGGAAACUGCCUGAUGGAGGGGGAUAACUACUGGAAACGGUAGCUAAUACCGCAUAACGUCGCAAGACCAAAGAGGGGGACCUUCGGGCCUCUUGCCAUCGGAUGUGCCCAGAUGGGAUUAGCUAGUAGGUGGGGUAACGGCUCACCUAGGCGACGAUCCCUAGCUGGUCUGAGAGGAUGACCAGCCACACUGGAACUGAGACACGGUCCAGACUCCUACGGGAGGCAGCAGUGGGGAAUAUUGCACAAUGGGCGCAAGCCUGAUGCAGCCAUGCCGCGUGUAUGAAGAAGGCCUUCGGGUUGUAAAGUACUUUCAGCGGGGAGGAAGGGAGUAAAGUUAAUACCUUUGCUCAUUGACGUUACCCGCAGAAGAAGCACCGGCUAACUCCGUGCCAGCAGCCGCGGUAAUACGGAGGGUGCAAGCGUUAAUCGGAAUUACUGGGCGUAAAGCGCAC